ACCGGGGAAAUAACAAGUCGAUUUUAUAACGAGCAGCAGCAGUGAGUGAGUGAGUCCUGUAAAUAAAGUCUACAGACUUCCAUUAUGAAAUAUGUUAUUAUAUUUCACAGCGCUAACGAUCUGCGUCCACACUUCUUUAAUGCCGCUUUAUUACGACUACAGGAGUCAAUAAAAUGCAUUGACAUCCAUUAAAACUUUGUGGUUCUACAAAUAAGUUCUUCAAAUCGUCUCUGUUAAGGUUAAAGAAUCGCUUUAUUUUUUUUAAAAUAAAAAUCCAACAAAUAUUUAGACUCACUUUGGUGUUUGGAGAUUUGUGUCACGCACACUUUUUACUCAUCACUAACCACUAGAAUUUUCAUCUAUGAGCAUCAAUUAAAGCAGCGGCGCAAUUUCUCAUCUUUCUUUUGGAAUAUCCUUGAUCCACGGGAGACUUUUUAAUUUUUUUUGUGGAACUCCGCGGAUCUUCGUGAAAACCUGUUCCUUGGAUCCACAACCUGCUGCCACUGACAGAUUCCCGUGCGUAAAAAUGUUUAGCCAGAAAUUAUUAUUAUUAUUAUUGGAUGAAGCCGACAGUAAAUUCAAACACAGGAUUAAUAUUUGCGUUUUUACGAAUGCGGAAAAAAUAAUUUUGUAGUGAAUUGUUCCAUUCUUUCUCUCCUUUUUUGGAGAACUUGUGUGUGUGUGUGUGUGUGUGCACCUGUGACACAGCCGCGCUCUGCGCACUUUGACACUUGAUCCUGUCACAUGAACCAGUUUAAUGCUGCUGAUUUAUCAAAUACUGAAGAAUAGUUUCAUAGUUUACACCUGCGCAAAUGAAAACCCGUUUCAACGCUGUCCGAAUAGUUAAACCUGCACAACAGGUACAUAUGAUCAGAGUAUUUGUCAAAUCUUCUUUUGUCUGAUUUUAAUUAUUUUCAUGUAGAAAAUAUUCAAUUUAUCUCAUGGAAACCGAUUCCUGGAUCAUAAGGUCUCAGAACUGCGUCGCCAACGGUUCAACUUUACGCAGGGAUCAAACACGACAAAUAGAUCUCUUCAUUAAAGCAGCGGCUAUUUUUCUGCUAUUUAUCUAAUUAUACUUUUUUUGUUCUUAUUAUUAUUAUUAUUAUGGGUAAAUAGAUUUGUAUUUUUCCUGCACAUCUGUCGACUGACAGAAAUAAAACAUUUGUACUUUCAACACCAGUCUUUACGCACACGCCUUUUCUCUACAUCAUUCUUUUGUCUUCUUUUUUUCUUUUUUUAAUUCCACAAACAGGAUCCUAAAGUACUUAACCAGAAAUCUUAUUUUCCAUAUUCCUGCUACUGCCAGGUGCCAAAAAGGAAAAAGGCGAGUCUCUUUUCCAUGUCGCAAAGCAAGUGUAUUUUUAUUAGGACCAACGAAUUGUAACGAAGUCAGCAAAGUCUGUGUGUUUGGAGUGUCUUUUCCAAAGCAGGUGUCCCGGCCCCCUGCUCCCCUCACUGGCCUGUGGCUGAUUUGGCCUCGGCUCCCCUUGUUGCCACCUCCGCGCGCGCGCGCGCACACACACACACACACAUACACACACAUACACAUAUACACACACACGAACGCACAUGCAGGCUGGAAAAACAGGCAGGGACAUUAAAGAAACGCGUGUUUGUAAAAGGAAGACUGUGAUGAGGUGCACGGGAAACGUGCUGGUUAACACCGACUGCUCUUAUCGCGGCCCAUUCCAGGUGGAUCAGCGCGCGUAUUUAUUCCAAACCCACUCUCUCUUAUGAGGUCGAGCUGUAGUGUGACACACCUCGGUGCCCAAGACUGAUAAUGCGCUCUGGCACCGCUGCAGUGAUGGCUGAAUUUACUGACAUAUUUAUUAGAGUCGGGCCCAAAUGAAGGAGGAGGGAAGCGGUGAAAACUGUAUUCCUCCCCGAGGUGUUGUUAAAGUCCUCGUUGAGCCCCAGCCUGUGCAGGACUUGAUAUAUUCAUCAGCUUCCACUGUGACCAAGUUCCUGUCGACAUCAUGAGGAUCCUCGUUCCCUGAAGAACAUCCCAACAAGGGUGAGCUGGAGCCAGUCCCAGCAGCUGCUGGACAGUUUAUCAGUCACUCCGUCCAAUCACAGGUCUUCCACAUUCAACCCUAUGGUCGACCCAGUGUCCAGUUAACCUGUUCACCUUUUGCUUGUUUCUGGAUUCUGACAGGACGCAGGGAAAACCCACGCACAGGUGAGAAGAUGAGGAAAACGUCACAUAGAAAGACCACCAGUUACUGCAGGAGCCUGACCUACCGAUCCCUUCAACUGUAA